rnacentral:lncRNA from 1 species
CCACAUUAACAGCAUUAGUGGCGCUAUGUUAAAAACGCCGCAAUAGUUCAUCCCCAUUACUCCCAACACUUAGCCGAAAUUCCCCCCAAAAUUCUCCCCAAAAUUUCCCCCGAUUUUUCCCCCAAAAAUCCCCCAAUUCUAGAACCCUAGGCUGCUGCGCCCCAACCAUCUCCGCUACAUUGCUCGUCGACGCUUUUGUUGUCGCUCGUCAACCGUCGUCCGUCACAGUCCUGUACCACCGCAGUCCUCUGCCGUCGCUAGGUUCCUGCUAGCUUGCUGCCUCUUUCGCUGCAUAAGUCGUCUAUUCUUUGGCGUGGAAGGUAUGUUGUAUCUGCUGUUGUAAUGUUGUAUCUGCAUAAUUUCGAGACUCAAAAAGCCAAGGAAUCCAUUUCAUGGAAGAGGCGGUUU